GGAAAUGGGUAUAUAUAUUGACUUCAUUAUUCUAAAAACUUAUUUAAUGAGUAUAUAUAUUGACGUCUUCAACAAGAAGAAUACUUUGGAGCUCCCAAAUUCAUGAAGGAUGUUGUGGACGUCCAUGAUAGUUUAGCUGCUGAAGUUGAACAUGGUGAUGCUUCCAGAAAGGAAAGGUCCUCAGUUCAAGGUGUAGAACAGUAACUAGAAUGACAGGUGAACUUCAUUGGAUUCAAUAGUCAUUACGUUAUGAGGAUGAUGAAGAAUGUACUUAUUAAUGCCCCUCAUAUCAAGCAUUUCUUGUCGAAACAGUUCACCUCCGACAAACCAUAUACUACUCAAGAAAUUGACGAAGUUAGAGAAGAAUGGGCAAUGUCAUAUUUACAAUUGGUUAGAGCAAAAUGAAUGAUAUUAUAGCUAGCUAAUUACAAUACAUGUUUAGAAAUUUUAAAUUUAUUUCGUAAAUUUUUUUUGCCAUUUUUUUUAGUA